AGAAGGUGCCUGCUUCUCCUUCCACCAGGAUUUUAAGUCUCCUGAGGCCUCCCCAGCCAUGUGGAACCGUAAAGGACCAUGGCAGAGCUUACGUGAUCUUCGGAGGCCAGAGGAUUGAAAUUGGAGACUUGAAGACCCUCAAACACAUGAACAGUGUUACUCUAAUAUUUAGCAAGUUCCUUGGGAAGACACAAAACCAUCACCACUAGAAAAUGCCUUUGACCAAGCCUUGGACAGAUGAAGACAAAGCGGAGCACACAUCACGAAAAGUGUCUGUCUCGUCCGCAGCCUGGCCUACCCUUCCCCCAUCAAGGUGGAGAAAAUCAACUUACCAUAAAUUAUGCAGCCUUAAACCAAGUGCUUCACUAUUCUGGGAGUUAACAACCUCAUUUGUAAAAUCAGUGGAUGAGACUAUCCUAGAAAAUGACCUUUAAGACCUUUUCCGGGUCUAACUUACACUUUACUAAGAGUGCCGAUUAAAUAAACUUGUGAUGAAAAAGC